AUGGAGCAUCAUGUUAAGCCCAAGUUCAAUAUGAAAAGCAAAAUUCGUGGUGAUAUAAAGAAGGUAUCAUUCGAAAAUAAAAAGUAGUGUAAAGCAAUAAUUUUGAAGUCAUCCAGCUAACGCACGAGAGAUCGACGGAACCAAACAAAAGAUCAAAUAGGAAGCAUUUUAAAGUUCUCUCCAUUAAACAAUUGAUUAUUUUUGAGUUUUUUUGUAAAUUUAUAAUACAAAAGAAUAUAUAAUACAUCUUUGAAAAAAUCUU